rnacentral:rRNA from 1 species
CCCUAUGGGGUGCAGCAGGGAGCCGCCGGAGUUCUCGUGAGUGAUGAAGAAAAAAUAAAAGCAAUCGCAGGAAACAAUAAGGUUGCCGUGAUUAAAGUUGCCGAUACGCUGACCGCCCUGGGGGAUUUGGCCCAUGCCUGGAGAAAGAAAUUUUCCAUUCCGGUGAUCGGUUUGACCGGUUCUUCGGGCAAGACAACCACCAAAGAGAUGAUCGCAGCCAUCAUCAGCAGGAAGAAAAAUAUUUUAAAGACGGAAGGUAAUUUAAACAACCUGAUCGGAUUGCCGCAGACGAUAUUUCGUCUGACCGGUGAACAUGAAUUGGCGGGAGAGC